AAUGUAGGCAUUCAGCUUCUGUGGCAGUGAACACGGGACAGAUGGCUAGACAGAUCUUUGAAAUCUGGGCUUGGCAAUCUGAGAGGUCUCGACACAGCAGGGAGAGUUAGAAAACAAAGGCCCAAUUCUGCUAUCAGUUAUUUGGACACAAGUCCCACUGAUUUCAGUUUUUGUGCCCAUUAUUUGGCAGAAUUAGGCCCCAAGAGCCUAUCCAAAAUCAGUGGGGAAAUGGGCAGAAGAGUCUCUAUGAGAUUUGGAGAAAGUAGACAAGAUGUAUAGGAAGGGCCUGAUUUUUUUAAAAAUUUCCUGAGAUUCUGGUUGAUGUGGGCCCUGUUUAAUUAUAGCCUAUGCUGCCUUCUCCUCCAAACACCUCCAAAUAAUUUGGCAUGGCUGAGAAUCCCUGUUGGGGAAAGACUUAGGCAGGGCUAGACUUAUGAAGGCACAACUAUGCAUUAGUGGCACUGCCUCUCCAAGCCACAUUACAAAAUUAAGUGUCAUGUCUAAGAUGGCAAGGAAUAAGCAUAAGACAAAUAGCUUGUGGAGUGCCAGAGAAUGUCUAAGUGCUCAACAUGGAAGGAUUUGGGCCUCCCUCUCCCAGAAAGAAUAGCUACUGGGAGCAGGUUCAGAGAGGUGGAACUGAUGUCUGCUGCGGGCGUUCCUAGUGGGAGAGCCCCACAACAAGUUGCUUAUACUCACAGGUGAUGAGCAUAGCCCAUAGAAGGGCCAGAGAUUUCCCCCACCUCAGCCCCUAUUGGCCCUUUGCCGAUACGAGGGCACUGCAAUGGGCAGAGGGGUGUAGCAGUUAUGGGAGGACACCUUAGCACUUCCCCAGAUAGGUGCAACUUCACCUUCUUCCAGAACAUGCUCAUCACUUGCAAGCAUUGCCAUGCCAGGGCUGGUGCUGGACAGAGGCUGCUACCUUGCAUCAUCAGCGAGCUGUGCAGGCAAGAGGACUCCAAGGUUGUUAGGCUGAGGUGUGCACUAGAAGAGAAGUGCAAGUGGCUUUGAGACCAUGGGAGCAGCACAUGAGGGUGAGAAAAGGAAGCAUUCUUCAGUACUGGGAGAAAGCACAAGACACUGUGAGAGCGGCUAGGAAAGUGGCUGAACCCAGAGACUCCACAACCUGCUACUUGCUACCAGGGAACUUAUUUCGCAGAACAGCUUGUGCUUUUAUUGCAGAAGUUCCAGGAUUCGAUCCUCCCUGGCAACCGUGUCUUUUCAUGAGGUCAAGGAGGACAAGCUGGUGGGAUGAUUUAGCAACUCAGUUCAUGCUGCUGCAUGUCGCAGAGCAGAUAAACGUCCGGACUCUUGCUCAUGGAGUUGGAACUCUCACUAUGGCAAGAUGAUCUUCCGCACACGGUGGCAUUGGGGACAUGAACAGUAACGCUUGCUCGACAGGGCUAGAACACAUCCCCGACUCUUCAGAGAACAGAUCCCUGAGUCUUCACAAGAGAGCCUGAUCUGAAAGGCCCAGGCUCAAAAUCACAGCUAGCUCGUUUUAAGCUUUUUUUCCUUUGAGAUUGCAUCAAAGCCCAUGCAUGGUUUUCUGUUGCCUUCAGUGAGAGCAAGACCAGGCCCUUACUCUUUAUGGCUGUUAUAAUCAUUCCAGAUGAUUUUUCCAUUUCCCUGGAGAGAAUGCAGUGGUUCUAUCUCUUUGAGUUCACCCACUGCCAGCAGUUGGACAAUUUCAAGAUGUGCUAGCACUGAACAUGGGUCAGCCUGGGAUUCAGAAAGAUUGGACAUUUCCAUCUUUCUAGGGCACUGCUAUCCCCUAGUGGCAAGCUGGAAAAGUGACAUGUCUCCCUGCUGCUCUAAACCGGGACAUGAUAUAGAGAGGGUGCAGACUGAAUGGUUAAGAGUUAUUUACCUCUCUCUCUCUCUCUCUCUCUCACACACAUACCUUCUUGUCCCUCACAUGACUGCAGAUGAUCUAGGACACACAGGGCAGUCUGGAUUAUUGAAAAUAGAGGCAGAUGGCUACGUAGACAUUUUUAGUUUACCAUCAGAGAGUCCCUGUAACUUUUAGAAUGUGGGGUUGUGGAGGUUGAAUGCCUGGGUGGAUAUGAUCUCCUCCUUGUCUAUUAGAACCUGGAUGUUAAGCCAUAAAUCAUCAGAAUGGGGAUUUUCUCUAGGUCUACAAUAAUUUCUCAGACUUGACCUUGAUGCACAGAGAACACUAGAUAGGCAAUUCUUUUAGAUAGAAAUAAGGCCUGGCUUGACAAAGCCCUGGCUGGGAUGAUUUAGAUGGUGUUGGUCCUGCUUUGAGCAGGGGGUUGAACUAGAUGACCUCCUGAGGUCUCUUCCAACCCUAAUCUUCUAUGAUUCUAUGAUAAAGAGAAUUACAGGGCACAAGGAAUUAAUGAUCUCUGUACAGUCAGAGAUGAGAUGACCACCAUUUUUUUAUUGUGUUGGAGAGUGGCUAGAAUUUUAUUAAUUUGAGUAUCAGGAUAAUGGGAAAAAUUCUGAAAAGCACAUAAGUGACUUGGGAGCCUAAAGCUCAUUGAUUUUUUCAAUGGUACAUGGGCUCCUAAAUCCCUAAUGUGCAUUUGAAAAUUUGCCCAAUGAUAAUAAUGUUAUUUAUCAAGCCUCCUGCCAAAGAGGUUGGCUGGUGUAUAUUAAUUAUUACUUUAAUUUGUAUUUCAGUAGCAUCCACAGGGCUCAAGUGAGAUAUGGUCCCAUUGUGCUAGGCACUGUACAAAUGCACGAGAGAGUCAGUGACCCAAAGAGCAUACAAUGUAAUUAAAUGCCCAUUCAAAUAAAUAGAUUCUUCCUAUUGCCUUCUGUUUUAAUUUAAUCUGGCCAUAAACAGACAAGACAAUAAAGAGAUUUUAAAAUACAAUUAAACACGAGAACAAACAGAGAUGCGACUGGCACAGGGCAAAAAGGGGAGGAAUCAAGUGUAGGCGGGAGCACCAGAUGGGGCUCAGAGGUUGUUUGCACGCUGUCUUUCAGAGGCAAAUGUUCCUGAGUAGCUCUGCAACUGGGUCUGAUCAGACAAGAACCCCUCAGAACCAUCACUCUGGGAGUCUGAACUGAGUUUUGAUUAGUGGGUCUCCCCCUGCUCCACUCUAGUUUCUAGCUGGGUGGAGGCCACGUGAGAAAGUCUCUUCCCAUGAGAUCCUCAGGAAGGAGAGGUUUUGAGAGGCUUGGGCUGAACAUUCAACCAGUUAAGCACAUACAAAAGCACUGACCCUCAUGAGCUUCACCCAGCCUGAGAGAUGCCGUGGCUUUGGCCCUCUUUCUCCACCAGGCUUUGACAGCUGAUGUCCCAGCUGCCACCGCUUUCCCUGUCCUGAGGGAGAGAUUCGAGGUCCACCAAUGAAACAUAAAGCAAAAGCUGCUGGAGCGGCAGUUCCAGCCGACAAGCUGAACAGAGGGGGAAAGCGGGAGGCAGACUGGCAUCUGAGAGAUUGCUUUUUUUAACUCUGAAGAGAAAUUGGCCAAGCAGCACAUGUUCCCUGAGGUGGUUUUGCUGCUUCAAGUUCAUUUGCGGAUGAAGUUUCCAUUUUUUCAAUCAUCCAUCUUCUGUUCCAUACUAGUCCUGGUUUCCCUGGAAGUUUUGGUUCUGAUGACUAUCUCAAGCCCCCUUGUUUCUCCUUUUUCAAUUGGCACCUUGGCUUUUUACUGUUAAAAACUGUGGGUUUUGAGGCCCUUCCCGGCCUUGUUUCAGCGUGGGGGGAGCAAUUGGAAAAGUUGGGGCACUGUCAUAUUUGCCUUACUGGGGAGCAAGAGCAGCCUGGAAUUGGAACAGGAAGUUGAUCCAUUUCUGUAUUGCCUGCACCUCUCCUUCUGAGUGAUCCUGCCAUACCCAGAGAGGAAUUGUGUCCGACUGAACUCAUACAUCUGCCUGCUCUGCACCAUCUCUGACCCUGGACUGCCCAACAAUGAAUUGAGUCCUACUGCAUCCUCACUGUAACCUUGUCUGCCAAAUAAAUGUCCAUGCCCUAUUGCACUUUGGCACCAGCCUGGCACUGCUGUACCUCAGUAUUUCUGGCCUGAUGCUGCAGAGUUAGGUUCCACCUGGGCAUUUGGCAAGAUGUAAGAGCAGCUCGCAGGAGACAUCUGAAUUUGAUACCAUCUCCUUUGCUCUGAACCCCAGUGAAGAACAAGAGGCCGAGCAGCUCAGUAAUACAGAACAAGUGACAGUUUGAUUUGUUCUGAUGUUAGUGAGGAGCUUCUUGGGCUGCAUAACAACACGUCCAGCAGCUCUCCAAAGAGGCAGCAUGCAUACAAGCCUGGGCAUUAGGAACUCCUGAGUUCUAAUCCUGCCUAUGCACUAAUUCAAUGUAUUGCCUUGGCCACAUCACUGCAUAUCUUUGUGCCUCAGUUUCCCAUUUGUUAAAUGGAAUAAUUAUCCAUGUGCUCCUCCUUGGUAGAGUCUGGAUCCCCCUCAAAGUAUAGUGUGAUUGGAACCCAGGCUUGGAGAAGGGAAGAAUGGAAAGAGGUAUGUUGCUCUCUGAUGACAAUCUAAUUUAAAGUUGCAGUAGCGCUAUCUUCUUUAGAGUUAGCCAACGACCUGUGAGGGAGGGAGGAUCAGUGACUUGCGUGAAGUCACCCAGGAAAAUUUGUGGCUGAGUCAGGAACUGAACCACAUCUCCUGCGUCCAGGGCCUUAAUCACAAGACCGUCCUGCCUUAUUCAAGGGGAUGCUGAGAUGGUAUUUACCUCAUACUGAUCAACACACUCAGGGCUAGAUCCUCAGCUGAUGUAAAUCAGCGCUGCUCUGCUGAAGUCAUUGGGGCUAUGCUGAUUUACACCACCUGAGGAUCUGGUCCUGAAAGUUCCAAAGGAAAUAGCUGCCCCUGAAUAGGUAUGAGCAAAUGUCCUGAUGCCCAUGUGCUAUGUGUCUUGCAGAGAGGUAUUGCCUGUUAGGGAUUAUUUACAUUCAUUAUUGCCUGGCAGAGACAAGAGUCAGGUACUGGAGCAGAGGGCACCAUGGGUUGCUUAGAAAUGCCCUAAGUUUUGGCUGCCUGCUGGUAAGAGAUACCUCAUGAUACACACAGAUGCCGUUUAAAAAACAUUAAGCAAACACAAACACUCCACAUACAAACCCCACAUUACAAAGUCACAAAACAAACACACAGACACAGGAAUGAAAAAUUGUGAACCCCAAAGGGAAACGCUCAACAUUUAAAAUACUCGAGACCAGAUUUUCCCUUUACAAUAAAAAUGUGAGCAAGGCAAAAGAGGAACAAAGCUAGAAAAGAGUAAAUUGCAUCCUGUCAUCCCACUAAGAAUUUCCAAUAGGGCAAGGCAGAUGUUUCAUAGAAGGAAAAGGCGACGUUUAUUCAAAUGUAGUAAAAGCAGCCUCAUUUAUGACUCCUGGAGACUCAGCAUGCAGCUGUUUGCCUAUAACACAGCAAUCAUGUCAAACAGGAGAUCCCUCUUGCUAUGUCAAGGGAGCAGGCAUGGGAGCCAGCAGGUGUUUCAACAGGAACAUUCACACAGGCAAUAUGAGGGUGGGACUGUGGUGCUGAAUCCCGGCAGAGAGGAUAACUUGUGAGAAAGGUCAGUCUGAAGGGGAUAAGAAGAGCGAGUGCUGUACACUCUGUACAGUCGGGGCCUGAUACUUGGAAGUGCUGAGCAGCCACAUCUCAAAUUGAAGUCCCUGGGUGCUGAGGAUAUUUGGCCCCUCUGAAAAUCAAGCCCUACGUGGAGAGAAAGAGCGCUGCAUGCUUUAUCUAUUAGUGCUUCCCAUCUCAAUCCGGCUGUUGCCACGCAUACCUAUUAGCUCCAGAACAGCGGUCUCACAAAUGCUGAAGUUGGAAAACAGCGGAUUGUUUCGUACAACCAGUAACGUCUUCUGCAGAGUUAAGCUAACAAGAUUUGUCUCCAUCACAAGCACCUAGGCCAUUCAAAGUCAAUCAGCUGGAAACCAGAGCUCCUCCAUUCAAUAAUGUUAACCUGAACACCAAAGAGCUUACGACCUCAUGCGGAGAGGUUCUAGCAGGACUGUACUGCCAACAGAUUGUAAGCUCCAUGGGGCAGAGGCUGUUUCUUCUUAUGUGUUGAACAGUGUCUAGCACAACGGGGUCUUGAUCCGGAUUAGAAAUAAGUCAAUAUAUAUUAUCAAUAUGACAUGCAUAUCACUAGAAUGAGCUAUUUCAAUUUGGCAUCAGCCCAUUCAGCAAAUACAUUGUCCCCCGAAGCGCAAUAACCUCUCAUUAGCAGCAGAAUUAAAUACAAAGAGGGGCAGAAGGAGAAAUGUAUAUCUGUCCUAUGCAAAUACAGGGAACAUGUCGAGUUCAGGAUGUAGCCCUGGCCACACCUCCUGUUGGGAAAGCCACACACACUUUUCCAUACCAAAAGUGAACUAGCCACUUGUAACUUUUGGUGUAACUUGCGCCAAUGGAAUUCACAACACAGCCAGACAACACAUGGAAAUGUACUACAGCGCAUACCCACAAGUGCAUACAGAACACAGAGCCAAGCAAGGCCAGGUCUACACUGGAACCUUUUGCUGGUAUAAUCGCAUUGGUUAGGGGUGGGGUUUUUUUAAAUGACAUUUCAAUACUUGCAAAAGCCCUAGUAUAGAUGCAGUUAUACCUGCUAAAAAGUGCUUUUGCCACUAUUGCUUGUUUCGCUUGCCAAACCAGAAUAAGCUAUGCCGGCAAAAGCAUUUUUUGCCAGUAUACAUUGCAUCUACACUAGAUGAUUCUGCCAAAUAGCUAUAUGGGCAAAUUGUCUCUAGUGCAGACUUGGACCAAGACAUGUGGGAAGCACCUUGGACUGUCUGGCACUGCUGGAGCAGAGACUGUGUGGUGUGGCUGGUAGUGGCCAUCUCACCCCAUACCCCAGAGACAGCAGGACCAGUGAGGGGAGAGAAAUCUUUGGUAUUGGGGAUUGUGCCUUUAAGGGCUGAGCUUCCUAGACAGAAACACCUGAGGUCACUCUCCCUCCAUGAAAAACCUCUUCAACCCAAACUGGGAGAUCAAGCCCCCUCAACAGGAAAGACUCUCCUCUAUUUUCAAGCUCCCCCAUUCCUACUUUGAGACUGUCACAGUAGUAUGAUGGAUAAAGAUGACCACAAAAAAAUUAGUUUUUUUUUUAAAUUUCCUUUUUUUUCCACCUCAGAAAUAUCAGGAAUGUCAAGCCCCCUCUUCCCUGGUUUUGUGGGAGGACUUCUUGGGAGAGUCACAUGUACUUACAGGCACUCAGCCUCUUAGCUUAGUGGUUCUCAACCAGGGGUACAUGUACCUCUUGGGGUAAGCAGGGUCUUCCGGGGGUCCAUCAACUCAUCUAGAUAUUUGCCUAGUUUUACAAUAGGCUACAUAAAAAGCACUAGUGAAGUCAGUACAAACUAAAAUUUCAUGCAGACGAUGACUUGUUUAUACUGCUCUACAUAUUAUACACUGAAAUGUAAGUACAUUUAUAUUCCAGUUGAUUUAUUUUAUAAUUAUAUGGUAAAAAUGAGAAAGUAAGCACUUUUUCAGUGAUAAUGUGCUAUGAUACCUUUGUAUUUUUAUGUCUGAUUUUGUAAGCAAGUAGUUUUUAAGUGAGAUGAAACUUGGGAGUACGCAAGACAGAUCAGACUCCUGAAAGGGGAACAGUAAUCUGGAAAGGCUGAGAGCCACUCGCUUAGUUGAAGAGUUUUAACAAAGAUAUACUUUCUCCAAAGUGUUCAUUGAGCAUUGAAAUUAGAUUAAUAAAACAGAACAGUCUGAUGAAAAAUCCCUCCCCAUCCCAAUUGUUCAGUCUCCUGUGAUGGCAUAGUUUCACUAAUUCUUCAGAAACUUCCAAGGUAGAUAAGACCUGAUUUUCUAAAGUAAAAACAUAUUAUUAUGUUUUUGAAAAAUCUUUCAGAACUUCUAAUCAAAAAGACAGAAGCCCAAUCUUUGUUUCUUUUACAUGUUAAAUUUAAGACAUGAAAGGGACAGGACUGAAUCACCCAGUGGAUUUACUAACUCUCUAACAAGCUAAGAUGUCGCAGUGAUGAUGGCUGGACAGAUAGAUGGGUUAGAUGUGCUUGCUCACCUAUCUAAGACAGAACCAGAGAGCUCUCCUCAGUUUUCCAGGCUGUAGGAUCAUUUCCCCCCAGUUUGGAGGCUGAGCCAUACUGCUGUCAGGAAUUAUUUGUGUUUAUGACAAUAAUGGGCCCAGUGCUGCUUUCAUUUAUAACAGUGUAAAUCAGGAGUGAGGCCAUGGCAGGCAAUAGAAUUACACAGGUGUAAAGUCAGUGCAAGAGCAGAAUCAGCUCCAGGGUAGUUAGUAUGAAUAAGAACAAAGGGCAAAGUUCUCUGCUGGUAUAAAUGGGUAAAACUCCAUUGAAGUCAGGGGAGCUGCAACCAUUAACAACAGCAGAGAACUUGGACCAGGAUUUUGAUGAGAGACUCUCAUCGGCUCGGUUUUCCUCUCACACUGGUGUAAAUAGCUCCUCUGGAAAAGUGUAAAAAACACUGAGAGCAGAAUCAGACCCUUUAUAAACAUUGGUAUUGCUGUACUAGAGGCCCUGCCCAAAGCUCCAUUGCAGUAGGUGCCAUACAAA